rnacentral:lncRNA from 1 species
GUGGUGCAUGAUGAAUGCUCUGGACUACUUGCUGGAGUCACGUUUGGCACCCGAAUCUCAUUCCAGGGAUCAUCAGACUUUUCACCUAAAUGUUUUGAAGAAGCUCGUGACCUACAGGAGACUUCAUUGUCAGUGUUAGGUGAUCCAAUGAAAUUCAACCUAAGCACUUUUGGUUGAGAAUUUUUCAUCUGAACAAUACUGCAUUCCAGUUGUUGUUGCAUACAUAUUCUGGCCUCUUUUUUCAUCCUCCUGAACAUGAGUCGUCAAAGGAGACUUCAUUGUCAGUGUUAGGCGAUCCAAUGAAAUUCAACCUAAGCACUUUCGGUUGAGAAUUUUUCAUCUGAACAAUACUGCAGUCCAGUUGUUGCUCCAUACAUAUUCUGGCCUCUUUUUUCAUCCUCCUGAACAUGAGAAGGAAACCAAGAGAAACUAAACACUUACAAUCUAAUCAGAUGCAAAACACAAAGUACUUAUGCAUGCAAACAUGAAAUAAGAUUUACACUGUAUUACUUAUCCA